GAUGAACGCUGGCGGCGUGCCUAAUACAUGCAAGUCGAGCGAACGGACGAGAAGCUUGCUUCUCUGAUGUUAGCGGCGGACGGGUGAGUAACACGUGGAUAACCUACCUAUAAGACUGGGAUAACUUCGGGAAACCGGAGCUAAUACCGGAUAAUAUUUUGAACCGCAUGGUUCAAAAGUGAAAGACGGUCUUGCUGUCACUUAUAGAUGGAUCCGCGCUGCAUUAGCUAGUUGGUAAGGUAACGGCUUACCAAGGCAACGAUGCAUUGCCGACCUGAGAGGGUGAUCGGCCACACUGGAACUGAGACACGGUCCAGACUCCUACGGGAGGCAGCAGUAGGGAAUCUUCCGCAAUGGGCGAAAGCCUGACGGAGCAACGCCGCGUGAGUGAUGAAGGUCUUCGGAUCGUAAAACUCUGUUAUUAGGGAAGAACAUAUAUGUAAGUAACUGUGCACAUCUUGACGGUACCUAAUCAGAAAGCCACGGCUAACUACGUG
rnacentral:rRNA from 1 species